UACAGAGGUCCCAAGCGUUGUUCGGAUUCACUGGGCGUAAAGGGUGCGUAGGCGGUUUGAUAAGUCUGAUGUGAAAUCCCGCAGCUUAACUGCGGAACUGCAUUGGAAACUAUUUGACUAGAGGAAUGGAGGGGAGACUGGAAUACUUGGUGUAGCAGUGAAAUGCGUAGAUAUCAAGUGGAACACCAGUGGCGAAGGCGAGUCUCUGGACAUUUCCUGACGCUGAGACGCGAAAGCGUGGGGAGCGAACCGG
rnacentral:rRNA from 1 species